CUGGAGAUGAUGCAUAAAAACAUUAAACACCUGAUUGUCCAUGAAGGCUUUUGUAUUCAUACUGUCUGAUCCAG
ensembl:snoRNA